rnacentral:rRNA from 1 species
AUUGAACGCUGGCGGCAUGCCUUACACAUGCAAGUCGAACGGUAACAGGUCUUCGGAUGCUGACGAGCGGCGAACGGGUGAGUAAUACAUCGGAACGUGCCUAGUAGUGGGGGAUAACUACUCGAAAGAGUGGCUAAUACCGCAUGAGAUCCACGGAUGAAAGCAGGGGAUCGCAAGACCUUGUGCUACUAGAGCGGCCGAGGGCAGAAUAGGUAGUUGGUGGGAUAAAAGCUUACCAAGCCGACGAUCUGUAGCUGUACUGAGAGGAAGAUUAGCCACACUGGUACUGAAAUACGGCCCAGAUUCCUACGGGCGGCAGCAGUGGGGAAUUUUGGACAAUGGGCGCAAGCCUGAUCCAGCAAUGCCGCUUGCAGGAUGAAGGCCUUCUGGUUGUAAACUGCUUUUGUACGGAACGAAAAGCCCCGGGUUAAUACCCUGGGGUCAUGACGGUACCGUAAGAAUAAGCACCGGCUAACUACGUGCCAGCCGCCGCGGUAA